AUUGAACGCUGGCGGCAGGCCUAACACAUGCAAGUCGAGCGGAUGAAGGGAGCUUGUUCCUGGAUUCAGCGGCGGACGGGCGAGUAAUGCCCAGGAAUCUGCCUGGCAGUGGGGGAUAACGUCCGGAAACGGGCGCUAAUACCGCAUACGUUCUGAGGGUGAAAGUGGGGGAUCUUUGGACCUCACGCUAUCAGAUGAGCCUAGGUCGGAUUAGCUAGUUGGUUGGGUAAAGGCCUACCAAGGCGACGAUCCGUAGCUGGUCUGAGAGGAUGAUCAGUCACACUGGAACUGAGACACGGUCCAGACUCCUACGGGAGGCAGCAGUGGGGAAUAUUGGACAAUGGGCGAAAGCCUGAUCCAGCCAUGCCGCGUGUGUGAAGAAGGUCUUCGGAUUGUAAAGCACUUUAAGUUGGGAGGAAGGGCAGUAAGUUAAUACCUUGCUGUUUUGACGUUACCAACAGAAUAAGCACCGGCUAACUACGUG
rnacentral:rRNA from 1 species